GCUCGAUAAGCUCAAUUGGUUGAGCAUGGUUCUGAAGAAACCGGGGUUAUAAGUUCAAAUCUUAUAUUGAGCA